rnacentral:rRNA from 1 species
GUUGUUGCGGUUAAAAAGCUCGUAGUUGGGAGUCUGCCAAGGACGACCGGUCCACCCUUGGGGUGAGUAUCUGGCUUGACUGGGGCAUAUUCUUGGGCAGCGUGGCUGCACUUGACUGUGUGAUGCGAUAUCCAAGACGUUUACUUUGAGGAAAUUAGUGUGUUUCAUGCAGGCCCACGCCUUGGAUACCUUAGCAUGGAAUAAUAAGACAGGGCCUUGGUUCCAUUUUGUUGGCUUCUAGAACUGAGUUAAUGACAAAUAGGGAUACUUGGGGGCAUGCGAAUUUGAUUGUCAGAGGUGAAAUUCUUGAAUUUGUCAAAGGCGGACUACUGUGAAAGCAUUUGCCAAGAAUGUUUUCAUUGAUCAAGAAUGAAAGUUAGGGGGUCGAAGAUGAUCAGAUACCGUCUUAGUCUUAACCAUAAACUAUGCCAACUAGAGAUUGGAGUUUGCUGUCUACACGACUCCUUCAGCACCUUUUGGGAAAUCAAAGUCUUUGGGUUCCGGGGGGAGUAUGGUUGCAAGGCUGAAACUUAAAGGAAUUGACGGAAGGGCACCACCAGGAGUGGAGCCUGCGGCUUAAUUUGACUCAACACGGGAAAACUUACCAGGUCCAGACAUAGAAAGGAUUGACAGAUUGAUAGCUCCUUCUUGAUUAUGUGGGUGGUGGUGCAUGGCCGUUCUUAGUUGGUGGAAUGAUUUGUCUGGUUAAUUCCGUUAACGAACGAGACCUUAUCCUGCUAAAUAGAUUUGCAUAGCCAUGGUUAUGGGGGAACUUCUUAGAGGGACUUUGUGUGUGUAAUGCGAGGAAGCUUGAGGCAAUAACAGGUCUGUGAUGCCCUUAGAUGUUCUGGGCUGCACGCGCGCUACACUGAUGAUCUCAACAAGUGUGUAACACUGCCUGAACGGGUUGGGUAAUCUUU